UAGCCCAAGGUCACCCAGCAGCUGCAUGUGGAGGAGCGGGGAAGCGAACCCGGAGAGCCAGUGUGGUGCAGUGGUUAAGAGCGAUAGACUCGUAAUCUGGGGAACCGGGUCCGCGUCUCUGCUCCUCCACAUGCAGCUGCUGGGUGACCUUGGG